GAUGAACGCUGGCGGCGUGCCUAAUACAUGCAAGUCGAACGAGGCCCUUUGUAUUCGUACGAAGGUGUCCUAGUGGCGAACGGGUGAGUAACACGUAGGUGACCUGCCCCGAAGCGGGGGACAACUCCGGGAAACUGGAGCUAAUACCCCAUGUUCUCCAUGGUGUUAGAGGACCAUGGAGCAAAGGAGCAAUCCACUUUGGGAGGGGCCUGCGGCCCAUCAGCUAGUUGGUAGGGUAAUGGCCUACCAAGGCUAUGACGGGUUGGGGACCUGAGAGGGUGGUCCCCCACACUGGAACUGAAACACGGACCAGACACCUACGGGUGGCAGCAGUAGGGAAUAUUGCACAAUGGGCGAAAGCCUGAUGCAGCAACGCCGCGUGCGCGAUGAAGGCCUUCGGGUUGUAAAGCGCUUUUCUGGGGGAAGAGGAAGGACGGUACCCC
rnacentral:rRNA from 1 species